rnacentral:rRNA from 1 species
UACGUAGGGUGCGAGCGUUAAUCGGAAUUACUGGGCGUAAAGUGUGCGCAGGCGGCUCCGCAAGUCGAGUGUGAAAUCCCCGAGCUUAACUUGGGAAUUGCGCUCGAAACUACGGAGCUGGAGUGUGGCAGAGGAAGGUGGAAUUCCACGUGUAGCGGUGAAAUGCGUAGAUAUGUGGAGGAACAUCAGAGGCGAAGGCGACUACCUGGCCGAUUACUGACGCUGAGGAACGAAAGCGUGGGGAGCAAACAGG